rnacentral:misc_RNA from 1 species
AACUUUUGGCAACGGAUCUCUUGGCUCUCGCAUCGAUGAAGAACGCAGCGAAAUGCGAAACGUAAUGUGAAUUGCAGAACUCCAGUGAAUCAUCGAAUCUUUGAACGCACCUUGCGCUCUGUGGUAUCCCGCAGAGCAUGCCUGUUUGAGUGUCGCGCUCCCCUCUCAACCCGCCUCUCUUUUAUCGGAGUGGGCGGGCUUGGAUCGUGGCUCGAGCGGCCGAUGUCGGCUCUCCUCGGAGGGUGCAGACGGACGCUGCGGGCCGAAAUAGCGCUAGCGAAUUCGGGAUUGUCCCCUGGCUAGUCGACGUUGUACGCACCUCGUCGGCGCCUACGCCCUGCGGAUCGAGACCAGCGUCGCUUCGAACGAUCAACUGCAGCUCCUCGGAGUGUGCAGUUCAGAUUCGACCUCAAAUCAGGUAGGACUACCCGCUGAACUUAAGCAUAUCAAUAAGCGGAGGCU